GACGAACGCUGGCGGCGUGCUUAACACAUGCAAGUCGAACGGAAAGGCCCUGCUUUUGUGGGGUGCUCGAGUGGCGAACGGGUGAGUAACACGUGAGUAACCUGCCCUUGACUUUGGGAUAACUUCAGGAAACUGGGGCUAAUACCGGAUAGGAGCUCCUGCUGCAUGGUGGGGGUUGGAAAGUUUCGGCGGUUGGGGAUGGACUCGCGGCUUAUCAGCUUGUUGGUGGGGUAGUGGCUUACCAAGGCUUUGACGGGUAGCCGGCCUGAGAGGGUGACCGGCACCAUUGGAACUGGGAUCCGGCCAAGACUCCUACGGGAGCAAGAGGUGGGGAAUAUUGCACAAUGGGCGGAAGCCUGAUGCAGCAACGCAGGGUGCGGGAUGACGGCCUUCGGGUUGUAACCCGCUUUCGCCUGUGACGAAGCGUGAGUGACGGUAAUGGGUAAAGAAGCACCGGCUAACUACGUG
rnacentral:rRNA from 1 species